UACGUAGGGGCUAGCGUUAUCCGGAAUUACUGGGCGUAAAGGGUGCGUAGGUGGUUUCUUAAGUCAGAGGUGAAAGGCUACGGCUCAACCGUAGUAAGCCUUUGAAACUGAGAAACUUGAGUGCAGGAGAGGAGAGUGGAAUUCCUAGUGUAGCGGUGAAAUGCGUAGAUAUUAGGAGGAACACCAGUUGCGAAGGCGGCUCUCUGGACUGUAACUGACACUGAGGCACGAAAGCGUGGGGAGCAAACAGGAUUAGAUACCCUGGUAGUCCCUGA
rnacentral:rRNA from 1 species